rnacentral:rRNA from 1 species
GAUGAACGCUGGCGGCGUGCUUAACACAUGCAAGUCGAACGGAAAGGCCAGUGCUUGCACUGGUGCUCGAGUGGCGAACGGGUGAGUAACACGUGGGUGAUCUGCCCUGCACUUUGGGAUAAGCCUGGGAAACUGGGUCUAAUACCAGAUAGGACCAUGCUUUGGAUGGUGUGGUGGAAAGUUUUUUCGGUGUGGGAUGAGCUUGCGGCCUAUCAGCUUGUUGGUGGGGUAAUGGCCUACCAAGGCGUCGACGGGUAGCCGGCCUGAGAGGGUGUACGGCCACAGUGGGACUGAGAUACGGCCCAGACUCCUACGGGAGGCAGCAGUGGGGAAUAUUGCACAAUGGGCGCAAGCCUGAUGCAGCGACGCCGCGUGGGGGAUGACGGCCUUCGGGUUGUAAACUCCUUUCGCAACUGACGAAGCUUUUUGUGACGGUAGGUUGAGAAGAAGCACCGGCUAACUACGUG